rnacentral:rRNA from 1 species
UUAAUAAGCGGAGGAAAAGAAACUAACAAGGAUUCCCCCAGUAACGGCGAGUGAAGCGGGAAGAGCUCAAAUUUGAAAUCUCCGAUGCUUGCAUCGGCGAGUUGUAGUUGCGAGAAGCACUUUCUAGGCGGAUCGACGGUGCCUAAGUUGCUUGGAACAGCACGUCGCAGAGGGUGACAACCCCGUCUGUGGCGCCGCCGGCCGCUGACGAUGUGCUUUCGAAGAGUCGGGUUGUUUGGGAAUGCAGCCCAAAAUGGGUGGUAAACUCCAUCUAAAGCUAAAUACUGGCGUGAGACCGAUAGCGA